rnacentral:rRNA from 1 species
GUAGGCGGGUAGUUAAGUCAGAAGUGAAAUCCAAUAGCUCAACUAUUGAACUGCUUUUGAAACUGAUUACCUAGAAUAUGGGAGAGGUAGAUGGAAUUUCUGGUGUAGGGGUAAAAUCCGUAGAGAUCAGAAGGAAUACCGAUUGCGAAGGCGAUCUACUGGAACAUUAUUGACGCUGAGACGCGAAAGCGUGGGGAGCAAACAGGAUUAGAUACCCUGGUAGUCCACGCCCUAAACGAUGUACACUAGUUGUUGUGAGGCUCGACCUUGCAGUAAUGCAGUUAACACAUUAAGUGUACCGCCUGGGGAGUACGGUCGCAAGAUUAAAACUCAAAGGAAUAGACGGGGACCCGCACAAGCGGUGGAGCAUGUGGUUUAAUUCGACGAUACACGAAGAACCUUACCUGGGCUUGAUAUCCUAAGAAUCCUGUAGAGAUAUGGGAGUGCUAGUUUACUAGAACUUAGAGACAGGUGCUGCACGGCUGUCGUCAGCUCGUGUCGUGAGAUGUUGGGUUAAGUCCCGCAACGAGCGCAACCCUCGUGAUUAGUUGCUAACAGUUCGGCUGAGCACUCUAAUCAGACUGCCUUCGCAAGUAGGAGGAAGGUGAGGACGACGUCAAGUCAUCAUGGCCCUUAUGCCCAGGGCUACACACGUGCUACAAUGGCUAGGACAAAGAGAAGCGAUACUGCGAAGUGGAGCAAAUCUUAAAACCUAGUCUCAGUUCGGAUUGGAGUCUGCAUCUCGACUCCAUGAAGCU